UACGUAGGGUGCAAGCGUUAAUCGGAAUUACUGGGCGUAAAGCGUGCGCAGGCGGCUAUGCAAGACAGAUGUGAAAUCCCCGGGCUCAACCUGGGAACUGCAUUUGUGACUGCAUAGCGUAGAGUACGGUAGAGGGGGAUGGAAUUCCGCGUGUAGCAGUGAAAUGCGUAGAUAUGCGGAGGAACACCGAUGGCGAAGGCAAUCCCCUGGACCUGUACUGACGC
rnacentral:rRNA from 1 species